UACGUAGGGUGCAAGCGUUAAUCGGAAUUACUGGGCGUAAAGCGUGCGCAGGCGGUUUUGUAAGUUUGUCGUGAAAGCCCCGGGCUCAACCUGGGAAUUGCGAUGAAGACUGCAAGGCUUGAAUCUGGCAGAGGGGGGUAGAAUUCCACGUGUAGCAGUGAAAUGCGUAGAGAUCGUAAGGAAGGCCAGUGGCGAAGGCGAGUUCCUGGACAGUUACUGACGCUGGAGGCACGAAGGCCAGGGGAGCAAACGGG
rnacentral:rRNA from 1 species